rnacentral:rRNA from 1 species
UACUCCUACGGGAGGCAGCAGUGGGGAAUUUUGGACAAUGGGCGCAAGCCUGAUCCAGCCAUGCCGCGUGCAGGAUGAAGGCCUUCGGGUUGUAAACUGCUUUUGUACGGAACGAAAAGACUCCUUCUAAUAAAGGGGGUCCAUGACGGUACCGUAAGAAUAAGCACCGGCUAACUACGUGCCAGCAGCCGCGGUAAUACGUAGGGUGCGAGCGUUAAUCGGAAUUACUGGGCGUAAAGCGUGCGCAGGCGGUGAUGUAAGACAGAUGUGAAAUCCCCGGGCUCAACCUGGGAACUGCAUUUGUGACUGCAUCGCUGGAGUGCGGCAGAGGGGGAUGGAAUUCCGCGUGUAGCAGUGAAAUGCGUAGAUAUGCGGAGGAACACCGAUGGCGAAGGCAAUCCCCUGGGCCUGCACUGACGCUCAUGCACGAAAGCGUGGGGAGCAAACAGGAUUAGAUACCCUGGUAGUCCACGCCCUAAACGAUGUCAACUGGUUGUUGGGUCUUCACUGACUCAGUAACGAAGCUAACGCGUGAAGUUGACCGCCUGGGGAGUACGGCCGCAAGGUUGAAACUCAGAGGAAUUGACGGGGACCCCCACAAGCGGUGGAGCAUGUGGA